ACACAAAUUGUGCAGGCGUUUUAGCGUGAGGAUUAGGGCAGAAUGGGUACCUCGGGAAGAGAACGAGCUGGCUGAUUAUUAUUCGAAGGUUGUUGACCAAGACGAUUGGCAAUUGAACCCUGCAUUAUUCCGGGAAAUGGAAGGGAGAUGGGGCCCCUACAGCCUAGAUUGUUUUGCCAGUUUUAAGACUAAGCAGCUCAGUAAGUACUGCUCCCGGUGGUGGAACCCAGAGUGCUUUGCGAUUGAUGCGUUCACAGUGGAUUGGUCCAUUGAAAGGGUGUGAAUGGUUCCCCCAAUCUACCUUAUUUCACGUACAAUCGAUAUGCUGCUAGCAUGCAGAACCCAUGGCACUCUCGUUGUACCAGAGUGGCGGUCAGCCCCAUGGUGGCCAAAAUUGCAUGACGGUGCUGCGUGGUACGGAUUUGUGAAAGAGUGCGUGUGGUUGCCAAAGGAUGAGAAUACAUUCUUGCAGGGGUCAUGCCCAUGGAAUUUGUUUGGUUACGGCAUGCCGAAGUCCGAGAUCAUUGCUUUGAAAUUGUGCGCAGUUAGUGGCUGUGAUUGCUGACAGCAUACCUGGCGCGUGUUUGUAUGCGGGAGAGCCUGAGUAUGUCUGACGGUGCAUGAAAUGAGAGCUUGCGGAAGUUUGCCUCCAUGCUACAGGUGCGGUAGGGCAAGUGCUAUAGGCACACAUACAGCUAUAAGCUCCCCGGUUAACACGUACAGAUGUAUCAACUCGAAGUUGCACCCAGAGCACUAGCUUCGCAAAGAGGCAUACAUGGACACUACAGGUGUUAACCCGAGCAGCAGGCAUGAUAAGGGUGAAAGCUACAGGCUUACAAUUAUGACCCAAGGUGCUGCGGCAGAGCCAGCCGAGCGCGGACGCUACAAGCAAUCGAGCUAAGGGGGAGGAGGCAGUCAGUGGCGCAGAAGUAAUCAUGCUGUUCUCCGACUGUGUGCUACAGGCAAGUAAAGUCAACAGCCAGAACGCAUGUCUCGCUGCUUGGCAGUCUAUAUGCCGCCAGCUAUGCUUUGUGCUUCUUGGAGCAGCUGUUGCUGCGACCCUGCAGUUCUGUUGUUGUUGUGGUGUGUACGAGAGAGUCGAAAAGAAAUGCCUCAUUUCUUGUUGGAUGAGAGCAACGAAGUAAACAAGAAAUGCUGUUCUUUUCGAAACGCGAGUGCACAGUCCAGAGUUCACGGACUGUGCUGGGAGUGCGGUACGCACUGGCUGCACAGUGCGGAGUUGCAGCAUGCACAUGAAGGUGCAUGCUGGUCUGAAGACAGUGUUCUUUUUGUUCUUGCACUGCUGCUGUACAGUUGCGAAUCCCACCCACCCACCCAAUUGGAUAGUCAUUGCUAGAUAUGUAUGUGCAUAUGGAUUUAUUGGCUGAGUAAGCAGUAGUGCGUGUAUGUGGCGAGCAUGUUUCCGUGUGUGGGCCAAUUUCAGAUAAUUCUGUAUUAAGGUAGCACAUUGGCUUUAUUUAGACUGGCCCAUUUGGGGUUAUUCAGCAUCUCCACCAUUGUCGCUGGCGGCAAUUCCCAUUAAUCAGUGCACUAGGCCGUGGUGAACGCAUUUCGAUCGGAGGUUCAUGUAUCCAUUGUCCCAUGGCUUGGAUCGUGUACUGUCUUGCGUUGUUUUCCUUUUGUUAUGCUAAAGUGAUGUGUACCAGGCUGCCAUGAUUAUGUUUAAAUGCUGUGUGCCUGUGGCAUAGUAAUAUUAAUACACAUGCGGUGCAAGAAUUGGAGCAGCUGUUGCUGCGACCCUGCA